rnacentral:RNase_P_RNA from 1 species
UGAGUCGGUCGGAUGGUUGCUCCAGACUUGUUUGUUCAACUUUGGAGAGGAAAGUCCGGGCACCGCAGAACAGAAUGCUCCAUAACGAGGAGAGAUAAGCAUCCGCUUAUAAUGGAUAGUGCAGCAGAAAAUAGACCGCCUUCGGGUAAGGGUGAAAAGGUGGUGUAAGAGACCACCAGAUUCUGAAGAAAUUUAGAAUGCUUGUAAACCCCAUUCGGUGCAAGAUCGAAUAGCCUCUGAGAUGUUGUUCGCAUCAAUUGAAGAGCGGGUAGAUUGCUAGAUAUUUGUGGUAACACAAAUGCCAGAUGAAUGACCAUCUUUUAAAACAGUUCGCUGUUUUAGAAACAAAACUCGGCUUAUAGACCGACUCAUUUU